rnacentral:sRNA from 1 species
GUGGAUGUUAAAGGUACGCUUCACGGC